UCAUAAGUCCCUCCCACAUCCUUCCCCAGCUCCCAGCCCUCGGCAGCAACUUAAAUGCAGAACAUUUCAGCUGGAAGAAACCUUAUUUUCAGAUGGAGAAACCAAGGCCCUGGGGCCCGACCCUGAUCUCACACCACCAACCCACUUACACCUCGGGGCGGUCAGUCUUGGGCACCCAGGAACAGGUAGGUGGCCUUCAGCUCCUGAGCUAAGAGGGUAGAAACUGCCCCUCGCAGAAGGCUGAUUGGGGGGUGGGGGUCCCACCGGAUGAUCCCAUGAUUAGUCCUAAAGAGUUAGUUAUAGAGAAGUCAAAGGGAAGCCAGACUGCCAACUCCCGGCUAUUGUGGUAGCCUUAUACAACUGACGGUGGCGGGAAGGCUAGAGCCGGGCUCCUCGCACACCUAGGACAGGACAGUUGGGCACAUGUAGCCCCAGGAAGCCUGGGCUCACCCACCAGCCAGACCACGAGGGUUUAUGAGAGGCAGCCUGCAUUAUACACAGCUUAGGGCUUUCCUGAUCGAAAGAUACUGAAGAUCCUUUUGAAUUUGUACCAGCAGCCACCAUCACACACCCAGCUCUACUCUGGCUUCUCCAAAGGGAAGAGGCCCCAGUGAGAACCAAGACAGGGGACUCAGGCUCAGACAUAGACACAUACGAAUACCUGUUGCCCAGACAUAGACACAAAAGAAAACAAGCCUCAAACCAAUUGUCAGGGAGCUUGGGUUAAAGUCCCAGCCCUGCCACCAGCCAGGCGGUGGCUUCGUGGCCUUAUUCCCCUGCCUCAGCGAUAAAGGAGAGAGGUGGACUAGCUCUGGGGUCCUUCACACCCCACCUUCUCAGGUACCAGGGAAGCAGGAGAAGGUGUCCUCCAUCUGCUCAGGGCUUAAACUGAGCUCAGGGCUUUCCUUCUGCCAGUAAGAAAAAGAAUGUGGUGAAGAAGGGGAAAGAGAGCAAAAGGGUGGGAGAACAGAAGUCAGAAGCCAGGCCCUGAACCAAGACGGGCCUGGGGGUUU